UUCUUUUCCACUAAGCCAAGCUGCUUCUGCAUUCUGCUAAGUACAGUGCUCUGCACACUACUGAUUGAAUUGCCAACAGGAUGAAGCUAUUCUAGGACUCACAACUUGUGUCUUCUCUCCCAGACAACCCCUCACCUCUGGGGAAGAAGCCAAAGGAAAGUGCAGCAGAGACGGGGCUUCAGUAAACAACGGGAACCCUGCUGUUAUUAGACUGGGCCUGUGCCUUUUCCACUGAACCACACUGCACAUUCUCUGGAGCUAAGUGACACUCAGGAAACAUCUGGCCCCAUCGAUGGACCUGUGGGGAGGUCAGAGAGCCACUGUAACGUUAGCAUCUUCUUGUCUAGUCAACUAAUGAACAUGACUGUUCUCCAGACACGAAACCUGUGCAGGGCAGAAGAAAUGUCAAAACAUAAGAAUCAGCCACACCUUAAUACAGUUCUCUCUCAGUAGCAACACCUUUGAACCUGAAAGUGAUAACAGCUCUAUGGUGCAGGUCGGAUCAGAUGUUAGACACUGAACUCUAAGACUGUGCGUUCUAUGUAGGACAUGGACUGUGCCCGACCUGAUCAUUUUGUGUCUACCCCAGUGCUUGGCAUAGAGUGCUUUCAGCACAUUAUAUGGUCCAGAUUCCUGCAGAAAUCGUGGUUUGCUGCUCUAUGAAUAGAAGCAAAUGCAAUAAAAGCAAGUGUGAAUCAUACCCCAAUGAUCAACGUUCGGGAAACAGAACAAUUUGCAAAAUGGGCGAAUUGAAGGACUCUACCGGGGAGACAAAAGUCCCUUACAAAAUUAGACCAGAGCCUUUCCCUGGAUAAAAGAAAAAAAAAUCUCAGAAAGACUACCAAUGAUGGGCUUCAACAAUAAUGAAAGGAAGUGAUGGUUUUUCAGUACAGAGGAGUCAGAUGGCAUUUACAAAAGCAUCUCAACCUGGACACUGGUGAAGAGGAAAUGUCGCUUCAGAGAACACAUCCAAGCCUGUGAAAAAGCAAUGUUUUGAUUAUCAACCCUCUCACCUCUUGGUCAUCAGUUCAAAUCUAGUCCAUUUUGAAUCAAAAUUAUCUAUUAUUUGAGAUCCAUUGAAAAUUCCCAUGAAAUUAAAAGGCUCUAUAAAUCAUUCAUCUGCUUUUUUCUAGUCCCUUCACUCCAACAGCCAUUCUUAGUACUGAUAUAUUCUAUUCCUUUCCUGAGUACAUAUGUCCUAUGAUCUGUUAUAUCCUUGUUCUUCCACCUUCCCUCUCUAUUUAUAAUUUUCUCUCUCUCUCAUCCAUUAGAUUGACAGAUGCUGUGUAUCUUGCUUCUGCUGAACUUCCCCAAGGAUUUAUUAAAAUAUUUAUUAAAAUAUCCAA